rnacentral:rRNA from 1 species
GACAGAGGAUGCAAGCGUUAUCCGGAAUGAUUGGGCGUAAGCGUCUGUAGGUGGCUUUUAAGUCCGCCGUCAAAUCCCAGGGCUCAACCCUGGACAGGCGGUGGAAACUACCAAGCUGGAGUACGGUAGGGCAGAGGGAAUUUCCGGUGGAGCGGUGAAAUGCGGUAGAGAUCGGAAAGAACACCAACGGCGAAAGACUCUGCUG